rnacentral:ncRNA from 1 species
AUAUUACUUCCACCGGGUAGUGAAUGUUAAAGCAUUCUUAACACAUCAUCAGGUCAGAGAAGAUGUGUGAUCAUGCUUUUUGUUCUG